CUGCUAUCGGAUUGAUACUAAGCCAUGCGAGUCUUUGCAGUAAUGCAAGGCAGACGGCUCAGUAACACGUAGUCAACUUACCCUAUGGACGAGGAUAAUCUCGGGAAACUGAGCAUAAUACUCGAUAGAUCAUAAUGCCUGGAAUGGUUUAUGAUUAAAAUGAUUCGUCGCCAUAGGAUGGGACUGCGGCCUAUCAGCUUGUUGGUGAGGUAAUGGCCCACCAAGGCGAUUACAGGUACGGGCUCUGAGAGGAGAAGCCCGGAGAUGGGUACUGAGACACGGACCCAGGCCCUAUGGGGCGCAGCAGGCGAGAAAACUUUGCAAUGUGCGAAAGCACGACAAGGUUAAUCCGAGUGAUUUCUGCUAAAGAAACCUUUUGCCAGUCAUAAAACCACUAGUGAAUAAGGGGUGGGCAAGUUCUGGUGUCAGCCGCCGCGGUAAAACCAGCACCUCAAGUGGUCAGGAUGAUUAUUGGGCCUAAAGCAUCCGUAGCCGGCUUUGUAAGUUUUCGGUUAAAUCCAUGUGCUCAACGCAUGGGCUGCCGAAAAUACUGCAUGGCUAGGGAGUGGGAGAGGUAGACGGUACUCAGUAGGAAGGGGUAAAAUCCUUUGAUCUAUUGAUGACCACCUGUGGCGAAGGCGGUCUACCAGAACACGUUCGACGGUGAGGGAUGAAAGCUGGGGGAGCAAACCGGAUUAGAUACCCGGGUAGUCCCAGCCGUAAACUAUGCAAACUCAGUGAUGCAUUGGCUUGUGGCCAAUGCAGUGUUGCACGGAAGCCGUUAAGUUUGCCGCCUGGGAAGUACGUACGCAAGUAUGAACUUAAGGAAUUGGCGGGGAGCACACAAGGGUGAAGCUGCGGU
rnacentral:rRNA from 1 species